rnacentral:lncRNA from 1 species
CCGCCCUGGGACCUUGGCUCCAUCCCUGAGGGCCAGGGGAACCGGCAGCCUCGAGACUGAUCCCUCGCCCUGGAGAUUUUUCCAAUCAGGCAACUCUGAGGACAACUGCGACCCAGAGCACCACAGGGUGUCCUAGAGCCACCUGGGCGUAGAAUAAUGACGUAUAAGGAUGUGGAGGCCACCAAUUGGCUGCGCUGUGCGAAGACGGACAGGUAGGCGGGGCGGGAGGAGGUGUGGUCGGCAGAGCAAAUCCAAUAGUCUUUUCCGCGGCGGGCGGCCAGGCUUCUGCUGGGUCCUAAUGCCAAAUUCCUUACUGGAGCUUCAGCGCCGUCUAGCUGCUGCCCAGCGUCAGCGACUUUACCUGCUCAUUACCUAGGCACAUCACUAGGCUUCCAAGGGGGAGAGCGGCACAGACAGGAAGUCAGGAAGGCCAGGUCAGGACCUGGAGACCUGGAGGAUGAAGAGAGACACACAAGACACAUACGUACACACAGAGAGAAACAGACAGCGAGAGAGGGUGAGAUGUCACAGCAUCAAGGCAGCAGGAGAGCUGGGUCUCUGUUCAAACAGAAUUGGAACUUGACCGAAAACCAAGCCCCUCAUCUCUCUAUUUUUAAAAAAAUAUGGCUAAACAACGGGAAAUGCUCUUCAGCUAAAAAAAGGAGGGAUUGAAGCUAGACAGGAAGGAGAACUUCCUGACAAUGUGAUUCAAGAAGUGGAGACCAAGAAAUCUUUUCAUUCGAAAGAUUUCAUCAGUGGCCGGGCACGGUGGCUCACGCCUAUAAUCCCAGCACUUUGGAAGGCCAAGGUGGAUGGAUCACUUGAGGUCAGGAGUUCGAGACCAGCCUGGCCGACAUGGUGAAACCCUGUCUCCAGUAAAAAUACAAAAAAUUAGCCGGGUGUGGCAGCAUGCUCCUGUAAUCCUAGCUAUUCAGAAGGCUGAGGCAGGAGAAUCACUUGAACCUGGGAGGCGGAGGUUGCAGUAAGCCAAGAUCGUGCCAUUGCACUCCAGCCUGGGCAACAGAGCAAGACUCCAUCUCAAAAAGAAAAGAAAAGAAAUAUUUCCUUAGUGAAUGGUGUUUUUGGGGACAGACCACAUGCCUGAAAGCAGAGAUCAAAGCCAAGUGACUAAAGUGGGGUUUCUCAGCCUUGGCACCACUGACAUUUUGGGCUGGAUGAUUCUUUGUUGCGGGGUGGGGAUGGAGGCAUUGUCCUGUGCAUUGUAAGAUGCUUAACAGUGUCCCUGGCCUCUACUUACUAGACCCCAGUAGUACCACGACUCCUCCCCUCUAGUUGUGACAACUAAAAAUGUCUCUUGAUAUUGCCAAAUGUUCCCUAGUUGAAAUCUACUGGCCUAAAGAAUCUAAUUGUUGGGCACAUUUGAAAGGUAUGGGGUUGUUUAUUGUUGUUGUUUUGUUUUUGAGACAGAGUCUCACUCUGUGGCCCAGGCUGGAGUGCGGUGUGGCAGGAUCAUGGCUUACUGCAGCCUCGACCUCCCCGGUCCAAGCAAUCCUCCCACCUCAUCCUCCUGAGUAGCUGGGACUACAGGCAUGAACCACCAUGCCCAGCUAAUUGCUUUACUUUUAUUUUGUAGAGAAGGGGUCUCUGUAUGCUACCCAGGCUGGCCUCCAGAAAGGUGUGAUUUUCAAAACUUUGAGAGGAAAGGAUGGUAACAACUGUGAGAAAGGCAGCUAGACCUUAUCGGAAGAUCUGGGUUCUAACUCACCAUGUGGUCCUUGUCAUAUCUGUCUCACCCUCCUUUUUAAUUUUAAUUUUUUAAUUGUUUUUAGAGACAGGGUCUUGCUCUCUCACCCAAGCUGGAAUACAGUGGUGUGAUCAUAGCUCACUGCAGCCUCAAACUCCUAGGUGCAAGUAAUCCUCCUGCUCAGCUUCCCAAGGAGCUGGGAUUACAGAUGCCUGCCACCAUUCUAGGCUAAUUUUAUUAUUAUUAUUAUUUUUUUAGUAGAGAUGGGAGUCUCACUAUGUUGACCAGGCUGGUCUUGAACUCCUGGGCUCAAGUGAUCCUCCUGCCUUGGCCUCCCAGAGCACUGGGAUGACAGGCAUGAGCCACCGCACCCAGCCUGUCUCACCUUUAUAAUGUGAGAGGAAUCAUCCUUCCUCUUUUGAUUGUUUAGGAAGAUGGGAUGAUAAAAGGUCAGGUCAGAGAGUUCCUGAGUAAGGAAUAGCCCUGAUUCCUUACUGUAUGGCCAAGCCUAGAGGGUGAAACAGCCCUAAGAAGCUGACGGUUUGAAAAUCCCAGGUGAGAAGACAAAGGUAUGGGAAGACGGUGAAGCUCUGCCACCAAUGGUUCUCACCAAUCACCUUUUUCUUUUUUACUUUUUAUUGAAGUAUAAUAUAUACACUCAGAGAAAAAUGCACUCAGUAUACAGACUGAUAAAUUGGUUACCAUCUUUUUUUUUGGACAGGGUCUCACUCUGUUGUCCACGCUGGAGUGCAGUGGUGCAAUCUUGGCUCACUGCAACCUCCACCUCCUGGGCUCAAGCAAUUCUCCCACCUAAGCCUCCUCAGUAGCUAGGAUUACAGGCACCCACCACCACACCUGGAUAAUAUUUUAACAUUUUUUGUAGAGAGGGUGUCUCCCUAUGUUGCCCAGGCUGGUCUUGAACUCCUGGACUCAAGCAAUCCUCCCUUGGCUUCCCAAAGUGCUGGAAUUAUAGGUAUCAGCCACUGCACCCAGCCAAUUACCAUCUUAAUUCCGGAAUUCCAAUAAUUCUAGAGCCCAGGAAGAGCAAGGUGUGAAGAGAAGAGCAGAGACCUGGCACAGAGUCAGGAGAGGUGGAGGGUAAAGGCCCACGUGGUGGGUGUGUUUGGGAAGGCCUGGCGUCCUAGAGACUCCACAGUGGCAAGGGCUUCCCUGAUGGAGAAGGGUUUAAAAGAGUCCCAAUUUACGGAGGGAUGGGGAAUGGGCAAGAGAGAGAACGUUCUAGGUGUGUGCAUGUACGUGUUGGGAAGGUGACCAAGGGGAGACCCAGCAACACUCAGAGAAUAUGAUGGCAACCAGCAUGACCCUGAAUACCUUGACUCCUUGCCUGGAAAAUCCAGAUGAUCUUGGAGGGGACAACAGCUAAGAAGGGGGAAAUGUGGCAGAAGAAUGGCUAAACACACAAACUUCCCAAUAGGAAAGUUGAUUAAAUAAAGAAACCUCAGUGAACUACAGAAUUUAAAUCCCGGCAUAUCUUAGAAAAUCACUGAUGGAUCACCACCACUCUUUUUUUUUUUUUUUUUGGAGACAGAGUCUCAGUCUGUUGCCCUGACUACUGAAGUGUAGUGGUGCGAUCUCAGCUCACUGCAAUCUCCACCUCCUGGGUUCAAGCAAUUCUCGUGCCUCAGCCUCCUGAGGAGCUGGGAUUACAGGCAUGCACUAACACACCCGGCUACUUUUUGUAUUUUUAGUAGAGGCUGGGUUUUGCCAUGUUGCCCAGGCUGGUCUCGAACUCCUGGCCUCAAGUGAUCUGCCCACCUCAGUCUCCCAAAGUGCUGGCAUUACAGGCGUGAGCCACUGCACCCAGCUGAUCACCACUUCCUUUUUUUUUUUUUUGAGAUGGAGACUCACUCUGUUGCCCAGGCUGGAGUGCGGUGGCGUGAUCUCGGCUCACUGCAACCUCUGCCUCCCAGGUUCAAGCGAUUCUCCUGCCUCAGCCUCCUGAGUAGCUGGGAUAACAGGUGCCUGCCACCACACCUGUCUAAUUUUGUAUUUUUAGUAGAGACAGGGUCUUGCCAUGUUGGACCAGGCUGGUCUCAAACUCCUGACCUCAGGUGAUAAACACGCACCUCAGCCUCCCAAAGUGCUGGGAUUAGAGGCAUGAGCCACUGCACCGAGCCCACCACCUCUCUUAAAGGGUUAAUGCAGGGGCAGGAAGAUAAAUGAGCUGACUUUAAGGCCUCUUCUGGCACUGAGUCUAUGAAAAAAUCAAGAUGAGCUACAGCUUAAUUUCCACCCACAUUUCCAGGUUGUAAUUACUCCACCAUAAUGUGGAUUGAGGGAGGGUACAAGAGUCUAGAGCCUGCUGAAGCUAAGAGAUCUGGCCUCUUCCCUCCACAGCUUCUCAGAGGACCUAGGAGUCUUGAAGGGAUCCCAGGCAACAAUAAUAACAGUAACAAAACCUCUAGUGGCAAUGGUUUUCUCUGUAACUCCUACUGUGGCUUCUGUAUGUACCUUCGGCUGCCACCAUGGGUUAUUGCUCCCUUAUUUGAGAUACAAAUGGUGCUCUCAAUGACCCAAAUCCAGUCCCAGCUACAUCUUCACUCACACACCAUGACUAAACUUCCUGACUGCCACUGAAACCCCAACUUGGUGUGAAUCUGCCCUGGUGAGUAUUAAGCUGGCAGCAGGAAAUGAAAUGAGCUCUUUGGUGCCUGCUAACGGGGACAGGGGCAUUUGGAAAGGUUGGCUCUCAAUUCUUUCGGCUAAUGGGAGGAAAGUGUAAAGAAUCAACAGAAGAAUGGCUUCUGAACGAUCCAAUCUGGUUUGGAAAUUUUCCAUAGUCCUUACUUGCAAGGACUGGAAAUUUCUGUCUGGGAGUUCAUGACACUUGAACCACUGCAGCCACAGGGUGAAGACUUGACUCCGAAGCUCAAACUGUUAAGCUGUUUAGGCCCCCCAUUCUACUCCAGUGGGGCUGAAACACUUCUAAUCUCUGACUGAAGAGAAAUACUAAUAUGUUCUCCCCACACCCCCCAUCUCUCGCUCUCGCUCUCUCUCUCUGAUUAUGGUCUAGCAAAUUCUCACACCUUCCCCGGAGAUGGAAAAAAAUAGAAGAAACAAAGGGCUUAGGUUUCAGAUAUAUUUUCUUUCCAGCUCCUGCUGCGCUUGUGGCUGGCAUGUGGGCAGAGAGCAGGUUUCUAUGGAGAUAAUGAUAAGCAAAGAUUUAAGUGCUCAGAGUAGGUAAUGUCAACACGUUUGAUCAUGGAAAGCUGGCAAUACUUAUCAUCUAAAGUUGACAACACCUCUAUGACAAGAGAGAGUCCAAGACUGAAGAAGGUGGGAGAAUGUAGGCCCACCCUCCCCUCCCACACCCUGUCCACUUGGUGUACUCACGUGGCUUCUUCAAACACACGCACUUUCUCACAGCCUUCUGGGGGCUCCCGUUUGAAGAUGUAGCUAUGAUUAGGUCGAGGGGAGGCAGCAAAGGCAAGGACUGGAGAUGGGCUGCCAUCUUCAAGAAAGGCUGGGUGUCCUGGAGAGGAGGCUGUGAACAGAGCAAGGCUAAGUCUAGUGGAGAUGAAGGGAAGGCCUCCACUUUUCUGGGUCCAGGACUGAGGUGUAAAGUGGCAAGGCUGGGGACACAUGGUAAGGAAGAGGGUAGCGGGUGUGCUUAUCCAGUGUGAUUAUACUCUACCUUAAAAACCUUUGAGGCAGCUUACAAAAAUACACAGUGUAUAACAGAACAGAAAAACGGAGUUGAAUGUAUGGAAAGUUAAGAUCUCAUACCAAUUCUAUAUUCCCAGGAGGUAGACUGGGACCGGAACUCCAGAUCUCAGACUUGAAGGAAUACUAACUGUGUCUCUCUCUGCCUUCUUCCAAGACUGUCACACCCUCCCUGCCAACAUACCACAGCUUCUUCCUGUCCACAGUCUUGAAAAUCUAUCCUUUCUUCCAAGAACUCUUCUCCGACUCAGAGAAGCAAUCUUUACUCAACCCCACUUGUAGGAUAAAAUUCCUCUCCCUUUCCACACAGUGAAUGUACUUUGCCUAGGUUGCAAAUAUUGACUUUAUCUGUAUUUAUCUCACAUUUAUUCCUCCUUAUUCUAUGCUCUGUUUACCCAUGUGUAUUGUUAGAUCAUGCCCUUGACCAGCCUACCUCAUGGGGUUGAUGUGACAAUCAAAUCAGACAACAUAGGCACAGUGCUUUAUAAUGUAAGGAUUAUUAUUAGGAGGUAGGAAUUUCAUCUCAUUUUCUCAGAGAAGUAGCUAGGGCAUUGUAGAAAAUAGAGAUUUGGAGUAAAAAAAAAAAAUGAGUUUUGGUCUGGGUCAAACUAUGCAACCCUGGGCAAGCAACCACAUUCUCUUACUUUGUAUCACUCACAACCACUUUGAAACCAUUGUUGGGAAUGAGUACAGUGGACACCUGAAUGAAGACUUGCUGCUUUCCCCUACAGCUUGCUGAACCUCAGCCCAAAAAUGGGGAUGGCAGGGAUUGCUUCUUUGGAUCCCAGUGAGGAUUAAAUAGAAGUAUAAAUGCAGUGACUUCAUAAAUUAUCAAUCAGAACAGGAUGUAUGGGACCAUUAUUAUCAUUGGUAUAAUGUGCAGAAGAAAGAUGACUCAUAAAGAUAUUCUAGUAGGGUACUGAGAAUGCUAGGCCUGAAUUGACUAGAGGUGGAAAAGGGAGUGGAGCCACUCAUGUGCCCCAGAGUCAGCCCUGCUGCCUCAGCCUUCGCGGCUUACCUUUGUCGUUGGGGGUGGAUGCCAGCUCCUCGGCGGCACCCCGAUGUUCCUCAUGACUGGCCAGGCCACAAGGCUGGGGAGAUGCCAAGGACAUGGAAGGAGAGCUGGCAAGGUUGCCAGGCUCCAGGAGGAGGAGGGGAUGAUCACAGCUGCCACUCUGGGGAGGAGCUGGGGCCCGGUGCCCAUCAGGGAUAUCAAGGAUCUAACGGGGAAGGACGGUAAAGACUGUCAGCCCUGAGUAUUUCAGGCCUGCAGCAGCACAGUGACCCCAAGGGUAUUUCCCUUGCUGCUGUCAUUCUCUAUCCAUGACACACAACCACAGAACACCAUUUCCUCCAGCGAUUUAUUUCCCUGGCCACCCUUCAAUCUAGAAGAAACUCCCUCCUGUUUCUUCCAUAGCACUUUGCUCUUAUCCCUAAUAGCACUCACAGUCCAAUGUAUAAUUACAUAUUCACCUGUAGGGCUUGAUCAAUGUGUUGUCCCCAUAAGACUAUAAGCCUCAUGAGGGCAGGGACCUUCUGUGCCCUGGGCUCUAGGAACACAAAGAUGAUAACGUAUGCUGGAGGGCACAAUAGCGGCAAACCACCAGGAGCCUAUAAGUGCUGUAACCAUUGCAGAACAAGUAUGCUGAUGAUUAGCAUGUGUUACAUACCUCCUCACCCCCUUUUAAAAACACUCAAUGGUACUUGAACCUGUAGCUCACCAAAUUAUGUGCAUGUGUUUGGGUAUAUGUAAAAUCCUGCAUACAUGCAAAUUCAAAACCAACUAGUAGGUAAAUCAUAAACUGAGAAGUGUGCCCAUUAGAAUCAUAUUAAUAUUGGCCAACUGGCAUUCCCCAAUUAAACUGUGUCAAUAUAAAAUUGUGCCUGAGGCCAGCUGGGCGCAGUGGCUCACGCCUGUAAUCCCAGCACUUUGGGAGGCUGAGGCGGGCGGAUCACGAGGUCGGGAUAUAGAGACCAUUCUGGCUAACAAAGUGAAACCCCGUCUCUACUCAAAGAUACAAAAAAAAUUAGCCAGGCAUUGUGGCGGGCACCUGUAGUCCCAGCUACUCGGGAGGCUGAGGCAGGAGAAUGGCGUGAACCCAGGAGGCGGAGCUUACAGUAAGCCCAGAUCACGCCACUGCACUCCAGCCUGGGCGACAGAGCGAGAUUCUGUCUCAAAAAAAAAAAAGAAAAAAAAAUGUGCCUGAGACCAGCACGGUGGCUCACGCCUGUAAUCCCAGCACUUUGGGAGGCCAAGGUGGGUGGAUCAUGAGGUCAGGAGAUCGAGGCCAUCCUGGCCAACAUGGUGAAACCCCCUACUAAAAUACAAAAAAUUACCUGGGCAUGGUGGCGCAUGCCUGUAGUCCCAGCUACUGGGGAGGCUAUGGAAGGGGAAUUGCUUGAACCCGGGAGGCGGAGAUUGCAGUGAGCCAAGAUGGCGCCACCGCACUCCAGCCUGGCGACCAGAGCGAGACUCUCCAAAAAAAAAAAAAAGGCCGGUGGCUCACGCCUGUAAUCCCAGCACUUAGGGAGGCCGAGGCGGGUGGAUCAUGAGGUCAGGAGUUCAAGACCAGCCUGGCAAAGAUGGUGAAACCCCAUCUCUAUUAAAAAUACAAAAAUUAGUCAGGCGUGGUGGCAAGCGCCUGUAAUCCCAGCUACUGGGGAGGCUGAGGCAGAGAACUGCUUGAACCCGGGAGGCGGAGGUUGCGGUGAGCUGAGAUCGCGCCACUGCACCCCAGCCUGGGCAACAAGAGUGAAACUCCAUCUCAAAAAAAAAAAAAAGUGCCUGAGACUUCAGCAAAGGUAGCACAUAUUCUGCCUGGGAGUGGAGUCGGGGAGAAGGCUGCAUAGGAGCAGCUUGGCAUGAAGGAGGCAUGCGUGUUACCAGGUAGAGAUGGAGAAGGGGCAGGGAGCAGCAGGCACUGAGGCGCCCAUGCCGGUGCCGAGCACACGGGGAACAGUGAGAACUGGCAGUUUGGCUGAAGAUGACCCCUGUCUGUUCCUCCCAGCGGGGGGGCCUCCUCUCUGCCAAUCCUUGCCCCCUGUCUUUGUACUCACCACCACAAAGCCUGCCCUAGUGACAUGGGUUAAGGCCAUUUGAGACUAAUAAACUCCAUUUGCAUUCCUUUUGCAGGCUGGUGUUUGUAUGCUGCUGUUUGCGUAGCCAUAGCCUGUGAGGCCCCAGAGAGCAGGACUCCCAGUUCCCCUCGCCCAGGCCAAGUGAGGCACGGACUGUGGGUGCACUCAGGGUGCAGCCGCCACUCACCCUCAGCAGCUCCUCUUCUCCCUGCUCCUUCACAAAUACCUCCUCCAGCUCUUGGUUGAGCCCUUCCAGGCUCCUGUGCAGGCAGGGGCUGAGUCGCAAGACAGGGGACCCUGAGGGGAAGCUGGGAGGGGACGCCUGAGGAAGAGGCAAAUGACAAAAUCACACACAGCCCCACCAGGCCUAGACAGUCUUUCAUUCUGACCAGGGGUAAUGGUCAUGUCCACACAGCAGAACUGAGUGAAUGAAGGGUGAUUUGGGGACAGUUACAGAUUGCAAUAGGUCCACUCAGGGCAGUUUUCUCCAAAAGUUUGAGCUUUGCAGAGUCUACUGUGUGCUGUAGAGUCAUUGCCUCAAUUAUAUGGGGAUGGGGGUAGAAGAGAGGGAGAUUCAGAACGGCAAGAAGCCCUUCCAAUAUCACACAGCAAGACCAAGUUUGGACUAAAACUUCACAAAGCAUGCAGUGUGGUAGGGGGCUCGGCAGUUCCAAGACCCAGGAAACCUCUGCCCAUAUAGGGGGGCCUGCAUGGAGGAGAACAGAGGGGAGAGGGCUGGGGGAGAAAACAUACCCUCAGUGCUCCCCGCACUGCGUGGUCCCCUAGGAGUGGUGAACCUCGCUCCUUCUCUUUCCCACUGCGGCUCAGCUUCGUCCUCUGCAGUUGUUGCUUCAACUUGGAAAUCUAGCAGCCCAGAGAGAAGACGACAGAGGCAGAUUAAGGAAAGCCAAAGUGCACUGGGUCCCUCUUCCAAAGAGUGGCUCCUGGCAGAGGCCCAUGAAGAUAUAUACAAGGAGGAUGGAAGUUAAUCUUCCAUCUCAAAAUAGCUCAAUGGUGUUAAAACUGUG